rnacentral:rRNA from 1 species
AUCGUUUUAAUCGAUGGGGGGACGCAGUAGGAUAGGCGAAGCGUGCGAUUGGAUUGCACGUCUAAGCAGUAAGGCUGAGUAUUAGGCAAAUCCGGUACUCGUUAAGGCUGAGCUGUGAUGGGGAGAAGACAUUGUGUCUUCGAGUCGUUGAUUUCACACUGCCGAGAAAAGCCUCUAGAUAGAAAAUAGGUGCCCGUACCGCAAACCGACACAGGUAGUCAAGAUGAGAAUUCUAAGGUGAGCGAGCGAACUCUCGUUAAGGAACUCGGCAAAAUGACCCCGUAACUUCGGGAGAAGGGGUGCUCUUUAGGGUUAACGCCCAGAAGAGCCGCAGUGAAUAGGCCCAAGCGACUGUUUAUCAAAAACACAGGUCUCUGCUAAACCGUAAGGUGAUGUAUAGGGGCUGACGCCUGCCCGGUGCUGGA